ensembl:snRNA U2 U2 spliceosomal RNA
AUCGCUUCUCGGCCUUUUGGCUAAGAUCAAGCGUACUAUCUACCUCGACCCACUAGAAUGUAAGUUUCAAGAGGCAGACGUUUUUGUUGCUUUUGUUCACUGUUUCAUCCUAAGUAUCUCAAACAGUACAUAGCACAUAUUGGAAUUUAAUUAAUAUUGGUUGAAGUAUCCAAUAAAUUUUU